AUUGAACGCUGGCGGCAUGCCUUACACAUGCAAGUCGAACGGUGACAGGUUAAGCUGACGAGUGGCGAACGGGUGAGUAAUAUAUCGGAACGUGCCCAGUCGUGGGGGAUAACGUAGCGAAAGCUACGCUAAUACCGCAUACGAUCUACGGAUGAAAGCGGGGGAUCGCAAGACCUCGCGCGAUUGGAGCGGCCGAUAUCAGAUUAGGUGGUUGGUGAGGUAAAAGCUCACCAAGCCUGCGAUCUGUAGCUGGUCUGAGAGGACGACCAGCCACACUGGAACUGAGACACGGUCCAGACUCCUACGGGAGGCAGCAGUGGGGAAUUUUGGACAAUGGACGCAAGUCUGAUCCAGCAAUGCCGCGUGCAGGACGAAGGCCUUCGGGUUGUAAACUGCUUUUGUACGGAACGAAACGGUGAGCUCUAAUACAGUUUGCUAAUGACGGUACCGUAAGAAUAAGCACCGGCUAACUACGUACCAGCCGCCGCCGUAA
rnacentral:rRNA from 1 species